CCAAUAGCGUAUAUUAAAGUUGUUGCAGUUAAAAAGCUCGUAGUUGAACUUCGGGGUCUACCCAUUGGUCAGGCUUAAUUGUCUGUACUGGUGAGAUGGAUCUCUACCUUCUGAGGAACUUUCAUGCCAUUUAUUUGGUGUGGUUGGAAAUCAGGACUGUCACUUUGAAAAAAUUAGAGUGUUUAAAGCAGACUAUCGUCUGAAUACAUUAGCAUGGAAUAAUGAAAUAGGACGGACUGAUUCUAUUUCGUUGGUUUCUAGGAUCACCGUAAUGAUUAAUAGGGAUAGUUGGGGGCAUUAGUAUUCAAUUGUCAGAGGUGAAAUUCUUGGAUUUAUUGAAGACUAACUACUGCGAAAGCAUUUGCCAAGGAUGUUUUCAUUAAUCAAGAACGAAAGUUAGGGGAUCGAAGACGAUCAGAUACCGUCGUAGUCUUAACCAUAAACUAUGCCGACUAGGGAUCGGACGAAGUUAAUUUUAUAAUGACGCGUUCGGCACCUUACG
rnacentral:rRNA from 1 species